GAUCCAGCCAUGCCGCGUGUCUGAAGAAGGCCUUCGGGUUGUAAAGGACUUUUGUCAGGGAAGAAAAGGCUGUUGCUAAUAUCAGCGGCUGAUGACGGUACCUGAAGAAUAAGCACCGGCUAACUACGUGCCAGCAGCCGCGGUAAUACGUAGGGCGCGAGCGUUAAUCGGAAUUACUGGGCGUAAAGCGGGCGCAGACGGUUACUUAAGCAGGAUGUGAAAUCCCCGGGCUCAACCCGGGAACUGCGUUCUGAACUGGGUGACUCGAGUGUGUCAGAGGGAGGUAGAAUUCCACGUGUAGCAGUGAAAUGCGUAGAGAUGUGGAGGAAUACCGAUGGCGAAGGCAGCCUCCUGGGACAACACUGACGUUCAUGCCCGAAAGCGUGGGUAGCAAACAGGAUUAGAU
rnacentral:rRNA from 1 species